rnacentral:rRNA from 1 species
CUACGGGAGGCAGCAGUGAGGAAUUUUGCGCAAUGGGGGAAACCCUGACGCAGCAACGCCGCGUGAGCGAAGAAGGCCUUCGGGUCGUAAAGCUCUGUCAAGUGGGAAAAAAAUCUUUUGAUCAAUAGUCAAAAGACUUGAUGGUACCACUGGAGGAAGCACCGGCUAACUCCGUGCCAGCAGCCGCGGUAAUACGGAGGGUGCAAGCGAUGUUCGGAUUUACUGGGCGUAAAGAGCGUGUAGGCGGUUUAGCAAGUCAGAUGUGAAAGCCCUGGGCUCAACCCGGGAAGUGCAUUUGAAACUGCUUCACUAGAGUAAGGGAGAGGAGGUUGGAAUUCCUGGUGGAGAGGUGAAAUUCGUAGAUAUCAGGAGGAACACCCGUGGCGAAGGCGAUUCUCUGGACCAAUACUGACGCUGAGACGCGAAAGCGUGGGGAGCAAACAGGAUUAGAUACCCGAGUAGUC